rnacentral:misc_RNA from 1 species
AACAUCGCGCACCUGCGGGAACCUGCGGAGGGAUCAUUAUCGAGUUUUGACUGGGUUGUAGCUGGCCUUCCGAGGCAUGUGCACGCCCUGCUCAUCCACUCUACACCUGUGCACAAAUUGUAGGUUUCAGAUGGCGUAGCGUGCCUUUGUGGGGCUCGUGAAGCAGUCUGUGCCUGCGUUUACUACAAACUCUUGCAUGUAACAGAAUGUGUAUUGCGAUGUAACGCAUCUAUAUACAAC